GAUGAACGCUGGCGGCGUGCCUAAUACAUGCAAGUCGAGCGAACAGACGAGGAGCUUGCUCCUCUGAUGUUAGCGGCGGACGGGUGAGUAACACGUGGAUAACCUACCUAUAAGACUGGGAUAACUUCGGGAAACCGGAGCUAAUACCGGAUAACAUGUUGAACCGCAUGGUUCAACAGUGAAAGACGGUCUUGCUGUCACUUAUAGAUGGAUCCGCGCCGCAUUAGCUAGUUGGUAAGGUAACGGCUUACCAAAGCAACGAUGCGUAGCCGACCUGAGAGGGUGAUCGGCCACACUGGAACUGAGACACGGUCCAGACUCCUACGGGAGGCAGCAGUAGGGAAUCUUCCGCAAUGGGCGAAAGCCUGACGGAGCAACGCCGCGUGAGUGAAGAAGGUCUUCGGAUCGUAAAACUCUGUUAUUAGGGAAGAACAAAUGUGUAAGUAACUAUGCACGUCUUGACGGUACCUAAUCAGAAAGCCACGGCUAACUACGUG
rnacentral:rRNA from 1 species